UCAGCUCGUGUCGUGAGAUGUGGUUAAGUCCGCAACGAGCGCAACCCCUAUCCUCAGUUGCCAUCAUUAAGUUGGGCACUCUGUGGAGACUGCCGGUGUCAAACCGGAGGAAGGUGGGGAUGACGUCAAGUCCUCAUGGCCCUUAUGACCAGGGCUACACACGUGCUACAAUGGCCGGUACAAAGAGUUGCGAUACCGCGAGGUGGAGCUAAUCUCAUAAAGCCGGUCUCAGUUCGGAUUGGAGUCUGCAACUCGACUCCAUGAAGUUGGAAUCGCUAGUAAUCGCGGAUCAGCACGCCGCGGUGAAUACCGUUCCCGGGCCUU
rnacentral:rRNA from 1 species